rnacentral:rRNA from 1 species
UACAGAGGGGGCAAGCGUUAUUCGGAAUUAUUGGGCGUAAAGGGCGCGUAGGCGGCUUUGCAAGUGACGGGUGAAAUCCCUCGGCUUAACUGAGGAACUGCCUGUCAGACUGCAUGGCUUGAGACCGGGAGAGGUGAGUGGAAUUCCCAGUGUAGCGGUGAAAUGCGUAGAUAUUGGGAGGAACACCAGUGGCGAAGGCGGCUCACUGGACCGGUACUGACGCUGAGGCGCGAAAGCGUGGGGAGCAAACAGG